UGUGCCUUGAGGCGUGGCUUCCGGAGCUAACGCGUUAAGUCGACCGCCUGGGGAGUACGGCCGCAAGGUUAAAACUCAAAUGAAUUGACGGGGGCCCGCACAAGCGGUGGAGCAUGUGGUUUAAUUCGAUGCAACGCGAAGAACCUUACCUACUCUUGACAUCCAGAGAACUUACCAGAGAUGCAUUGGUGCCUUCGGGAACUCUGAGACAGGUGCUGCAUGGCUGUCGUCAGCUCGUGUUGUGAAAUGUUGGGUUAAGUCCCGCAACGAGCGCAACCCUUAUCCUUUGUUGCCAGCGGUCCGGCCGGGAACUCAAAGGAGACUGCCAGUGAUAAACUGGAGGAAGGUGGGGAUGACGUCAAGUCAUCAUGGCCCUUACGAGUAGGGCUACACACGUGCUACAAUGGCGCAUACAAAGAGAAGCGACCUCGCGAGAGCAAGCGGACCUCAUAAAGUGCGUCGUAGUCCGGAUUGGAGUCUGCAACUCGACUCCAUGAAGUCGGAAUCGCUAGUAAUCGUAGAUCAGAAUGCUACGGUGAAUACGUUCCCGGGCCUUGUACUCCCCGCCCGUCA
rnacentral:rRNA from 1 species